rnacentral:rRNA from 1 species
GUCCGAUACGAGCGCACCCCUACGCUUAGUUGCCAGCGGUUCGGCCGGGGACUCUAAGAGGACUGCCUGGGAUAACCAGGAGGAAGGUGGGGAUGACGUCAAGUCCGUAUGUCCCUUAUGUCCAGGGCUACACACGUGUUACAAUGGCCGGUACAAAGGGUCGCCAACCCGCGAGGGGGAGCCAAUCCCAAAAAAACGGUCUCAGUUCGGAUUGGAGUCUGCAACUCGACUCCAUGAAGUCGGAAUCGCUAGUAAUCGCGUAUCAGCACGACGCGGUGAAUACGUUCCCGGGCCUUGUACACACCGCCCGUCACGCCAUGGAAGCUGGUAGUACCCAAAGGUGGUGGCCUAACCACGACACUUGUGUCGGGGAGGGAGCCAACCAAGGUAAGACUGGUAACUGGGGCGAAGUCGUAACAAGGUAGCCGUACCGGAAGGUGCGGCUGGAACACCUCCUUU